rnacentral:rRNA from 1 species
CAACAGGGAUUGCCCCAGUAACGGCGAGUGAAGCGGCAACAGCUCAAAUUUGAAAUCUGGCUCUCGGGCCCGAGUUGUAAUUUGUAGAGGAUGCUUUUGGUGAGGUGCCUUCCGAGUUCCCUGGAACGGGACGCCACAGAGGGUGAGAGCCCCGUCUGGUUGGACACCGAGCCUCUGUAAAGCUCCUUCGACGAGUCGAGUAGUUUGGGAAUGCUGCUCUAAAUGGGAGGUAUAUGUCUUCUAAAGCUAAAUACCGGCCAGAGACCGAUAGCGCACAAGUAGAGUGAUCGAAAGAUGAAAAGAACUUUGAAAAGAGAGUUAAACAGUACGUGAAAUUGUUGAAAGGGAAGCGCUUGUGACCAGACUUGGGCUUGGUUGAUCAUCCGGGGUUCUCCCCGGUGCACUCUUCCGGCUCAGGCCAGCAUCAGUUCGCCCUGGGGGACAAAGGCAGCGGGAAUGUGGCUCUCUCCGGGGAGUGUUAU